GACGAACGCUGGCGGCGUGCCUAAUACAUGCAAGUUGAGCGCUGAAGGUUGGUACUUGUACCAACUGGAUGAGCAGCGAACGGGUGAGUAACGCGUGGGGAAUCUGCCUUUUAUCGGGGGACAACAUUUGGAAACGAAUGCUAAUACCGCAUAAAAACUUUAACCACAAGUUUUAAGUUUGAAAGAUGCAAUUGCAUCACUCAAAGAUGAUUCCGCGUUGUAUUAGCUAGUUGGUGAGGUAAAGGCUCACCAAGGCCAUGAUACAUAGCCGACCUGAGAGGGUGGACGGCCACAUUGGGAAUGAGACACGGCCCAAACUCCUUCGGGAGGCAGCAGUAGGGAAUCUUCGGCAAUGGACGAAAGUCUGACCGAGCAACGCCGCGGGAGUGAAGAAGGUUUUCGGAUCGUAAAACUCUGUUGGUAGAGAAGAACGUUGGUGGGAGUGGAAAGCUCAUCAAGUGACGGUAACUACCCAGAAAGGGACGGCUAACUACGUG
rnacentral:rRNA from 1 species